rnacentral:rRNA from 1 species
GAUGAACGCUGGCGGCGUGCCUAAUACAUGCAAGUCGAGCGAAUGGAUUAAGAGCUUGCUCUUAUGAAGUUAGCGGCGGACGGGUGAGUAACACGUGGGUAACCUGCCCAUAAGACUGGGAUAACUCCGGGAAACCGGGGCUAAUACCGGAUAACAUUUUGAACCGCAUGGUUCGAAAUUGAAAGGCGGCUUCGGCUGUCACUUAUGGAUGGACCCGCGUCGCAUUAGCUAGUUGGUGAGGUAACGGCUCACCAAGGCAACGAUGCGUAGCCGACCUGAGAGGGUGAUCGGCCACUCUGGGACUGAGACACGGCCCAGACUCCUACGGGAGGCAGCAGUAGGGAAUCUUCCGCAAUGAACGAAAGUCUGACGGAGCAACGCCGCGUGAGUGAUGAAGGCUUUCGGGUCGUAAAACUCUGUUGUUAGGGAAGAACAAGUGCUAGUUGAAUAAGCUGGCACCUUGACGGUACCUAACCAGAAAGCCACGGCUAACUACGUGCCAGCCGCCGCCGUAA